UACGUAGGGGCAAGCGUUAUCCGGAUUUACUGGGUGUAAAGGGAGCGUAGGUGGCAAAGUAAGUCUGAUGUGAAAGCCCACGGCUCAACCGUGGAAGGUCAUUGGAAACUGGGUCACUUGAAUGGAGCAGAGGAGAACGGAAUUCCAUGUGUAGCAGUGAAAUGCGUAGAUAUAUGGAGGAACACCAGUGGCGAAGGCGGUUCUCUGGACUGUAACUGACGCUGAGGCUCGAAAGCGUGGGGAGCAAACAGGAUUAGAUACCCCGUA
rnacentral:rRNA from 1 species